rnacentral:misc_RNA from 1 species
AACGCACAUUGCGCCCCGUGGUAUUCCGCGGGGCAUGCCUGUCCGAGCGUCAUUCCAACCCUCAAGCCCGGCUUGGUGUUGGGCCUCGCCCGCCCGCGGCCGGCCCCAAAGGCAGUGGCGGCGCCGUCCGGCCCUGAGCGCAGUACUCUCCCUCGCUCCAGGGUCCGGGUGGUGGCCUGCCAGAACCCGCAACGCUCAGUUGACCUCGGAUCAGGUAGGGGUACCCGCCGAACUUAA